rnacentral:piRNA from 1 species
UAACGAGAAGGAAAGGAAAGGGUGUA